rnacentral:rRNA from 1 species
AUUGAACGCUGGCGGCAUGCUUUACACAUGCAAGUCGAACGGUAACAGGGUGCUUGCACCGCUGACGAGUGGCGAACGGGUGAGUAAUGCGUCGGAACGUGCCGAGUAGUGGGGGAUAACGCAGCGAAAGUUGUGCUAAUACCGCAUACGUACUGAGGUAGAAAGUGGGGGACCUUCGGGCGUCACGCUAUUCGCGCGGCCGACGUCUGAUAAGCUAGUAGGUGAGGUAAAGGCUCACCGAGGCGACGAUCAGUAGCGGGUCGGAGAGGAUGAUCCGCCACACUGGGACUGGGACAAGGCCCAGACUCCUACGGGAGGCAGCAGUGGGGAAUUUUGGGUAAUGGGCGAAAGCCUGAUCCAGCCAUGCCGCGUGUCUGAAGAAGGCCGUCGGGUUGUAAAGGACUUUUGUCAGGGAGGAAAUCCCUAGCGUUAAUACCGCUGGGGGAUGACAGUACCUGAAGAAUAAGCACCGGCUAACUACGUGCCAGCAGCCGCCGUAAAAC